AUUGAACGCUGGCGGCAGGCCUAACACAUGCAAGUCGAGCGGAUGAAGGGAGCUUUCUCCUGUAUUCAGCUGCGGACGGGUGAGUAAUGCCUAGGAAUCUGCCUGAUAGUGGGGGAUAACGUCCGGAAACGGGCGCUAAUACCGCAUACGUCCAUAUGGAGAAAGUGGGGGAUCUUCGGACCUCACGCUAUCAGAUGAGCCUAGGUCGGAUUAGCUAGUUGGUGGGGUAAAUGCCUACCAAGGCGACGAUCCGUAACUGGUCUGAGAGGAUGAUCAGUCACACUGGAACUGAGACACGGUCCAGACUCCUACGGGAGGCAGCAGUGGGGAAUAUUGGGCAAUGGGCGAAAGCCUGAUGCAGCAAUGCCGCGUGUGUGAAGAAGGUCUUCGGAUUGUAAAGCACUUUAAGUUGGGAGGAAGGGCAGUAAGUUAAUACCUUGAUGUUUUGACGUUACCAACAGAAUAAGCAACGGCUAACUUCGUG
rnacentral:rRNA from 1 species